ACCAGGUUGGCCGAGUGGUUAAGGCGCCAGACUUAAGAUCUGGUCCCCGCUAAUGGGGUCGUGGGUUCAAGCCCCACACCUGGUA